rnacentral:rRNA from 1 species
UACGGAGGAUCCAAGCGUUAUCCGGAUUUAUUGGGUUUAAAGGGUGCGUAGGUGGUUCUUUUAAGUCAGGGGUGAAAGACGGCAGCUUAACUGUCGCAGUGCCUUUGAUACUGAAGAACUUGAAUACACUAGAGGUAGGCGGAAUGUGACAAGUAGCGGUGAAAUGCAUAGAUAUGUCACAGAACACCAAUUGCGAAGGCAGCUUACUAUGGUGUCAUUGACACUGAGGCACGAAAGCGUGGGGAUCAAACAGG